rnacentral:lncRNA from 1 species
UAGCCAUUGAUAUGUAGCUCCAGUAUUUUUCUGUCCAAAAGGCAUGACUUUGUAAUAGUAUAAGCCCUUCUCGAUGAUGAAUGCCAUUUUCUCCUCAUCCUCAGAUGCCAUCCAAAUUUGAUUAUAUCUAGAGAAUGAUCCAUAAAACUAUUGAAAAUUAUGUUCUAUUACCAAUUGACUUAUUAUAAAUACUUAAAUUUUAUAUAUAAAUUAUUAAUUAAUGAAUAAAAAUUAUUUUGAUAUUUUCAUCACAAAGUGUACAUCUUUUUUAUUAGAACUUCUGUAUUGUGAUGAAGUCUUUAGAACUACAUUAUGAUC